rnacentral:rRNA from 1 species
AUUGAACGCUGGCGGCAGGCUUAACACAUGCAAGUCGAGCGGGGAAAUGUAGCUUGCUACAUUACCUAGCGGCGGACGGGUGAGUAAUGCUUAGGAAUCUGCCUAUUAGUGGGGGACAACAUCUCGAAAGGGAUGCUAAUACCGCAUACGUCCUACGGGAGAAAGCAGGGGACCUUCGGGCCUUGCGCUAAUAGAUGAGCCUAGGUCGGAUUAGCUAGUUGGUGGGGUAAAGGCCUACCAAGGCGACGAGAUGUAGCGGGUCUGAGGGGAUGAUCCGCCACACUGGGACUGCGGCACGGCCCAGACUCCUACGGGAGGCAGCAGUGGGGCAUAUUGGGCAGUGGGGGGCACCCUGAUCCAGCCAUGCCGCGUGUGUGAAGAAGGCCUUUUGGUUGUAAAGCACUUUAAGCGAGGAGGAGGCUACCUGGAUUAAUACUCUAGGAUAGUGGACGUUACUCGCAGAAUAAGCACCGGCUAACUCUGUGCCAGCAGCCGCAGUAACAC